GGUUCUGUAGUGUAGUGGUUAUCACUGUCGGUUUUGAUUUGAUCUGAUUUCAAAUAUCCGACUAACCCCGGUUCGAACCCGGGCAGGACCU